rnacentral:lncRNA from 1 species
GACUCCUGGCAGGAUUGAUACCAGUGCCAGUGAUGGGGAUGGUAGCCAGGUGAACCAGGAACACUGCAAAGCCAAUAGGCAGCGGAGCAAGGAUCUGCACGGAUUCACAGGAGUCUUUAGCGCAAAACCUCAAGAACUCUCUUACAGACAGGAAAAUGGCAGCCGUGGAGGAAUUGUGGAAGUUGAUCAACACAUUAAGCACAACAUCAAGCUCGAACAUACAAAUUUAGCACAGGAGAGAGAGAGAGAGAGAUUGUUGUUUGACAGGUGAUAUAGUCAUAAACAAGAACAGCUUACAGGCACAUGAGAGUCCCGAGCACUCCUCUUGGCAUCAGUGGCAGAGAAGACAGUGUAGACGAGGAUGAAGGUGCCCACGAUCUCAGCACCCAAGCCAUCGCCCUUGGUGUAGCCAGGAGCCACCACGUUUGCCCCACCACCGUUGUUCUCAUAGAGCCCCUUUUGGAACCCCU